rnacentral:rRNA from 1 species
UACGUAGGGUGCGAGCGUUAAUCGGAAUUACUGGGCGUAAAGCGUGCGCAGGCGGUUUUGUAAGCCAGGUGUGAAAUCCCCGGGCUCAACCUGGGAAUGGCAUUUGGGACUGCAAGGCUGGAGUGUGGCAGAGGAGACUGGAACUCCUGGUGUAGCAGUGAAAUGCGUAGAUAUCAGGAGGAAUACCGAUGGCGAAGGCAGGUCUCUGGGCUGACACUGACGCUCAUGCACGAAAGCGUGGGGAGCAAACAGG